UACGGAGGGGACUAGCGUUGUUCGGAAUUACUGGGCGUAAAGCGCACGUAGGCGGAUUUGUAAGUCAGGGGUGAAAUCCCGGGGCUCAACCUCGGAACUGCCUUUGAUACUGCAAAUCUCGAGUCCGGAAGAGGUGAGUGGAACUCCUAGUGUAGAGGUGAAAUUCGUAGAUAUUCGCAAGAACACCAGUGGCGAAGGCGGCUCACUGGCCCGAUACUGACGCUGAGGCACGAAAGCGUGGGGAGCAAACAGG
rnacentral:rRNA from 1 species